rnacentral:lncRNA from 1 species
CCAAAACACGCGGAUCCGACUGUGCUUGGGUCGAGUCAUCGGGUCGGGGGCUAUACGGCGCCGUUUUAAGGCGACUGACAUAGGCCUUAAACGGUGUCAUUUUCCGCACCAUAAAUAUAAAUUUUAAAACCCUAAAAUUAGCAUCCAUCUCUUUAUUUUUCAAAACGGAAAUAAAAAAACUAAAAAAACAAUCCAAACGCUCCCCUCUCAGCGCCGCUUCAAAAUCGAAGGUCCCUCCCCUCUC